AGCAUUCUUUGGCAAGCUCCCAAGCCCUAUCAUGCGAAAAGUGUAAUGUCUUGCAUCUGCACAAAAAUGCAUAAUUUGCAAACUUUAGUCUUAAUCAU
rnacentral:lncRNA from 1 species